rnacentral:ncRNA from 1 species
UGUCUCAUAAGGGGGUGCCUAAAUAGAAUAUACCUACAGGCUGAGAUUAUACCCAUAGAACCUGAUGCCGAUAAUGCGGUCGAAGGGAUGUAGUGGUACGCUAAAGA